AAUGAACGCUGGCGGCAGGCCUAACACAUGCAAGUCGAACGAGUGGCGGAAGGGUGAGUACUGUCUGGGAAACUGCCCGAUGGAGGGGGAUAACUAAUGGAAACGGUAGCUAAUACCGCAUAUCACCGGAUAUGACCAGAUGGGAUUAGCUAGUAGGUGGGGUAACGGCGCACCUAGGCGACGAUCCCUAGCUGGUCUGAGAGGAUGACCAGCCAGACUGGAACUGAGACACGGUCCAGACUCCUACGGGAGGCAGCAGUAGUGAAUAUUGCGCAAUGGGUGCAAGCCUGAUACAGCCAUGCCGCGUGUAUGAAGAAGGCCUUCGGUGUGCAAAGUACUGUCAUCGGGGAUGCGUUACUCACAGAAGAAGCACCGGCUAACUCCGUGCCAGCAGCCGCGGUAAUUC
rnacentral:rRNA from 1 species